GGGAUUUUUAAAGGACCGAGGACAUAUGUUACCAUUGUCCAGGUUGGACAACCCAGGCCUGUUAGUUAAAGCUGCAGAGCAACUUUAAAUUGUCCUGGGAACAAGCAGGGUGAGGAAGAAAACAAGCUAUGCACAAACAAGAAGCCAGGUGCAGAGCAAGUCCUGGGAACGGCAAAAUCAGCACACUCUCAUCGGCACACUCUGAUCAGGCGCCUGCAGCAUGCCCACCAACUUUUAUCCAAUCACUUGUGUGUAGAGUCGGGUGAGCGGUCAGUUUAAGUUAUAAAUAUGACCUGUUUGUUUAAUAAAGGGAGCACGGCAUGUAGCCA